GGAUUUGCUAAUCCGGAGAAGGUAAAUGAAAGCCCAAGGUCACACAGCUAGUAGGUAGCGGAGCCGGAUUUGGAAUCCAGAGCCAGCAGUCCAAGCGUUGCGCCCCUCCAAUGUCCCCCCCCCCACCUCGAGGCCAGUCACGGGCCUCACCCCGGGAACCCCCUUAACGGCCGCUCUAGACGCCCCUGAACUUGCUGAACUCCGCAUCGAACUAACAAUGCUCUCCAGAGGUUCGUGUUCAAUCGGAAAGAAACCCCGGUAAAAGGCGGAGGAUGUGAGCGAUAGCAAAGCAGACCUACAGAUGAGCCCUCCAACUUUAUCCAGUGAUUCUAGCAAUGUGAGGGCCUUGUCCUUGCUGGUGCCUUAUAAACAGAAGUAUGCAACUGAUCUCCUUGGUGAAGUGACUGCUUGGU
rnacentral:lncRNA from 1 species